rnacentral:rRNA from 1 species
AUACAUAGGGGGCAAGCGUUAUCCGGAAUUAUUGGGCGUAAAGAGUGCGUAGGCUGAUUAUUAAGUCUGAUGUAAAAUCCCACAGCUUAACUGUGGCAGGCAUUGGAAACUGGUAAACUAGAGUACGGUAGAAGUAAGCGGAAUUCCAAGUGGAGCGGUAAAAUGCGUAGAUAUUUGGAGGAACACCAGUGGCGAAAGCGACUUACCGGGCCGGAACUGACGCUGAUGCACGAAAGCGUGGGGAGC